rnacentral:lncRNA from 1 species
UUUCUUUAGCGCUGCGCGCCGGAUAUUUCCCAGUAACGAACGGCAUAUGCGUUAUCGUGAAUAGCAUUCC